AGUGAACGCUGGCGGUAGGCCUAACACAUGCAAGUCGAACGGCAGCACAGUAAGAGCUUGCUCUUACGGGUGGCGAGUGGCGGACGGGUGAGGAAUACAUCGGACUCUACUUUUUCGUGGGGGAUAACGUAGGGAAACUUACGCUAAUACCGCAUACGACCUACGGGUGAAAGCAGGGGAUCUUCGGACCUUGCGCGAUUGAAUGAGCCGAUGUGGGAUUAGCUAGUUGGCGGGGUAAAGGCCCACCCAGGCGACGAUCCGUAGCUGGUCUGAGAGGAUGGUCAGCCACACUGGAACUGAGACACGGUCCAGACUCCUGCGGGAGGCAGCAGUGGGGAAUAUUGGACAAUGGGCGCAAGCCUGAUCCAGCCAUACCGCGUGGGUGAAGAAGGCCUUCGGGUUGUAAAGCCCUUUUGUUGGGAAAGAAAAGCAGCAGGUUAAUACCACGCUGUUCUGACGGUACCCAAAGAAUAAGCACCGGCUAACUUCGUG
rnacentral:rRNA from 1 species